AUCCCCAUUGAUGUGUCUGUAUUCAAGCAAUGCAUUAGUACAGCAUAUGAUGUUGAUCUCUAUUCAAGUCAGCAAUUAUCAUUUUUCACAUAUACAUCUUUUUAUAAGUCCUAGAAUGAACAAAUCAUCAGGGCAUCAUUUCUGGAAUUUGGGCAGAAAAUGACUGAAUAUGAAAGACUGCAGUAGAAGGAAAGCUGGUACUGAGAACAUUUGUCUUCACUCCAGACUAAAGAGAAGCGGGUCUGAGGCCAGAGAUGGAGGAGUCAAUGGUCACCAAAUGCAGCGCUGCAGCCUGAAACUGUGAAGACUGAAUUCCCAAACAGCUGUGUGACUGCACAGAUGUUACGGCCAUAAAAUAAACUUCACAACUGAGAGCCCAUACCUCCAACAACCUUCAACAGGAAUCAAUGGACAUCUACGCAAGGUUUUUCUUUUGUUGAGGACCGUCAGAGACUCCAGCCACACGAGCCAUGGAUUGCUCUCAACAUCACCAUCAGACAGACAUUAUCACAGAACCAGCACCAGCAGACU